rnacentral:rRNA from 1 species
GAUGAACGCUGGCGGCGUGCCUAAUACAUGCAAGUCGAGCGAACAGAUGAGGAGCUUGCUCCUCUGACGUUAGCGGCGGACGGGUGAGUAACACGUGGAUAACCUACCUAUAAGACUGGGAUAACUUCGGGAAACCGGAGCUAAUACCGGAUAACAUAUUGAACCGCAUGGUUCAAUAGUGAAAGACGGUUUUGCUGUCACUUAUAGAUGGAUCCGCGCCGCAUUAGCUAGUUGGUAAGGUAACGGCUUACCAAGGCAACGAUGCGUAGCCGACCUGAGAGGGUGGUCGGCCACACUGGAACUGAGACACGGUCCAGACUCCUACGGGAGGCAGCAGUAGGGAAUCUUCCGCAAUGGGCGAAAGCCUGACGGAGCAACGCCGCGUGAGUGAUGAAGGUCUUCGGAUCGUAAAACUCUGUUAUUAGGGAAGAACAAAUGUGUAAGUAACUAUGCACGUCUUGACGGUACCUAAUCAGAAAGCCACGGCUAACUACGUG